rnacentral:rRNA from 1 species
AUUGAACGCUGGCGGCAUGCCUAACACAUGCAAGUCGAACGGCAGCACGGCAGUAGCAAUACUGUGGGUGGCGAGUGGCGGACGGGUGAGGAAUACGUCGGAAUCUGCCCAGUCGUGGGGGAUAACUAGCCGAAAGGUUAGCUAAUACCGCAUACGACCGAGAGGUGAAAGCGGGGGACCGCAAGGCCUCGCGCGAUUGGAUGAGCCGACGUCGGAUUAGCUAGUUGGAGGGUAAAGGCCACCAAGGCGACGAUCCGUAGCUGGUCUGAGAGGAUGAUCAGCCACACUGGAACUGAGACACGGUCCAGACUCCUACGGGAGGCAGCAGUCGGGGAAUAUUGGGACAAUGGGCGCAAGCCUGAUCCAGCAAUGCCGCGUGUGUGAAGAAGGCCUCGGUUGUAAGU